rnacentral:rRNA from 1 species
UGAGCAAUCUGCCCUUCACUUCGGGAUAACUCCGGGAAACCGGUGCUAAUACCGAAUACGACCACUUCAGGCAUCUGAUGGUGGUGGAAAGUUCCGGCGGUGGAGGAUGAGCUCGCGGCCUAUCAGCUUGUUGGUGGGGUAAAGGCCCACUAAGGCAACGACGGGUAGCCGGCCUGAGAGGGUGACCGGCCACACUGGGACUGAGACACGGCCCAGACUCCUACGGGAG